rnacentral:rRNA from 1 species
GAUGAACGCUGGCGGCGUGCCUAAUACAUGCAAGUCGAGCGAACGGACGAGAAGCUUGCUUUUCUGAUGUUAGCGGCGGACGGGUGAGUAACACGUGGAUAACCUACCUAUAAGACUGGGAUAACUUCGGGAAACCGGAGCUAAUACCGGAUAAUAUUUUGAACCGCAUGGUUCAAAAGUGAAAGACGGUCUUGCUGUCACUUAUAGAUGGAUCCGCGCUGCAUUAGCUAGUUGGUAAGGUAACGGCUUACCAAGGCAACGAUGCAUAGCCGACCUGAGAGGGUGACCGGCCACACUGGAACUGAGACACGGUCCAGACUCCUACGGGAGGCAGCAGUAGGGGAUCUUCCGCAAUGGGCGAAAGCCUGACGGAGCAACGCCGCGUGAGUGAUGAAGGUCUUCGGAUCGUAAAACUCUGUUAUUAGGGAAGAACAUAUGUGUAAGUAACUGUGCACAUCUUGACGUUACCUAAUCAGAAAGCCACGGCUAACUACGUG